rnacentral:rRNA from 1 species
UACGGAGGUGGCAAGCGUUGUUCGGAAUUACUGGGCGUAAAGGGCGCGUAGGCGGCAUGGCAAGUCAGAUGUGAAAGCCCCGGGCUUAACCUGGGAAUUGCAUCUGAAACUGUUGUGCUUGAGUUCUGGAGGGGGUAGUGGAAUUCCCAGUGUAGCGGUGAAAUGCGUAGAUAUUGGGAGGAACACCUGCGGCGAAGGCGGCUACUUGGACAGAUACUGACGCUGAGGCGCGAAAGCUAGGGGAGCAAACGGGAUUAGAUACCCCCGUAGUCCCU